GGGCAGUGGCUGUUCAAACCCAGCACACCUUUUCCAUUUGCUAAGAAGGCCCUGCCAGGCUGGGAGGGAGUUGUCCCUGCCUGACUCUGGAGAGAAGAGCCACUGUGACGAUCCACAGGCACCAUGAAACUGCUUCAAGGGGCCAUACUUUGUCUUCUUCUGUCCAGUCUUUGUAGCGGUGUGGACGACGCAGAAGUCAAAGAUACAGCCACUCCUGUAUUAUCAUCAACUUCUGCAACAAAAACAUCUGUACCAACAUCAAACACAACGUCAUCACCAAAUGUUGCAGAGAAAUCAACAGUUGAAAUAUCUACUAAAGGAACUACCAGCAAGGAACCCUUAGAAACAUCUCUGCUGUCAACACUGUCUUCAGUAACCACAGCAGUUAAUGGUGAAGGAUCUACAGUCAAAGGUGUCACGAAGACUGAGUUCAUCACUCCAAGAGCAACAGUGAUAAAUCUUCCACUUCCAAAUGCUAUUUCAACAUUACAAAGUUCCCAAUCCAAGACUGAGAUUCAGAGUUCAAUCAAAGCCACAGAAACACCAGUUAACACUCCACAACCAGAUGCAUCACCUUCCAGAAUCCCUACAUUAUCCUCAAUAUCAGUAACAAUUCUGGAAAACAUCUCCCAGUCUCAAGGCACUGAGAACGCAAAAAAUGCAAGCUCUUCUUCAACCAGCCCCUCUUAUUCCAGUAUUAUUUUGCCUGUGGUUAUUGCUUUGAUUGCAAUAACACUUUCAGUCUUUGCUUUGGUGGGUUUGUAUCGAAUGUGCUGGAAGACAGACCCAGGCACACCUGAAAAUGGAAAUGACCAACCUCAGUCCGAUAAAGAGAGUGUGAAGCUUCUCACUGUUAAGACAAUUUCUCAUGAGUCUGGUGAGCGCUCUGCACAAGGAAAAACCAAGAACUGACAGCUUGAUGAAUCCUCUCCACACCUGGGCAAUAAAUAUAGGUAAAUAGCUUCUGUUGCCUUUCUGAGUAAUUGUGGAAUUACAUAACAAUGUUCUGAAGAGUAAAGAUGAAAGUAAUGGGAAGAAACAUGUUUGAAAUUGGCUUACUCUUCAGCUUCUGUGCUCCAGGGGUAGAAAGGGAGAAAGUCCUGUGGAUUCAAUCCUGACUUCCAAUCCUGCUCGCCAGUGUGCACCAGUCACCUGUCCCAAUAAAGUGAUGUCCAGAUGACACGCAAUAAUCUAAGAGAAUUGGAAACCAUCCUGGGCCUCUCCUGUCCUUUAAGAUGUGAAAACACACAUUACCGCAUUUUACAGGAACAUUCCUAGGGGAGGGAAUUUUAGGAGGGGCAUCUGUGAGCAGGUAACCUGACAGCCCAGGCAGGUGGCUUCACUGAUGAAAUGACUGUCCCUUGAGUUUAAAGUUUUCAGAACUAACGUUUCUUAUCCACGGAGACCUUCCUACUUUCUCAGUGUUCUUUUCUUACCUAACGUUUGUAUUUAUUGUUUUCCACUAUGUUAAUGCAGGGAAAAUUUGCAAGUGUAUUAUUAAAUAUUGGGUCGAAAUCCUGCCAUGCUACUUUGUACGUAAAUAUACUUUAUUCAUACUUCCAUGUGUUACCUUUCAUAAAUAAUUGCUGUGCUCAACACACUAAAAAUACGAUAAUACGACUGUGAAAACGGCAAUGAUACUGUCUUCCCAUAAUUAUGAGUAUUUUUGGAUUGAUCAUCAGACUAUGAGAGCUCACUAAUGAAAGGCAUCUAAUAAGUGAGAAAGGGACAAAGGAGUCACGUAUCAGACCCUGUUCAAGGGAAGUCAAUUUACCAUUUCUUGGGUCUUUCUCUUUGUAAUUCACACUAUGUGACAAGGAUGUUAAGGGCAUUUAUGACACUCUGUACUGCGUUCAUUACGAAGAUAACAGGACUGUGAUUUUUCAUAAUCCACUUGAUUGACACCAUCUCUGUGCAUUUUUAUUUUCUUUUAGAAAUGUAUUGAUUUGUUCUAGCAAUCAUUGUGAAAUCUCCAGUUUGUAGAAACCAACAUUUCAUAAAUA